rnacentral:piRNA from 1 species
AUGUGGUUGCCUGGAAUUGAACUCAGGA